CUUUGAUUGAAAGUCGGUUCGAAUGUACAUAUAGACGGAAUUUUUGUUUACCCCUGAUUACUUUUAAAAUCGUAAAAAGUAACUAUUUAUCGAGUUACAUUCGUUAAUGUUAAAGCUUACCAUUAAGACGAGAAAACAGGCCUUAGAGUUUUUCAAAGAUUGUCUGGCUUGGAUUGGUUAAAUAACAAGCUAUACUAUAACACCAUGAGCCCAGCUCAACGACAUCAUAAUUUUGCAGGACUUUUCCAGUCUCAGUUGUGCUUUUGGCACUUCAUUCAUUUGUGAAUGUGACAAGUGCCGACGGGGGAAUGAGAAUUGCUGCUGACGACGCUCAACUUUAUGUUGAUUACCUUUUCUGAUUAUGUCUGAGUGUGUGCGCGAGUCCUUGGCACACGGCGGAAAGCCAGGAUAAAACAAUAAACAUAAACCAAGUGGGACGGCAAGGCAAAACGGGGAAAGGACGUCGGGCAUGAAAUAUGAUUGAAGUCGAAAUGAAAGAUCCCGAGCAACCACUUGUGAGGUGGCUCAUGUGUAGAACGGCAAUCCGGAGACACUCUGGGGACAGGAGUUAAAAAGCUGCAGCUGGCAAAAGGUACAUAAUCACUUUUGCCGGCAACAGCCAAAUUAAAUCCGGCGAAUAUGCACAAACACACUGUAGUCGAGGACCAAGGACCAAGGAGCCGCGGCGUCAACUUACAAUCCCCAAAACAUUCUAAUUGCAAUAAAAAGCAACAUUAACUGGCGCCCAACGGUUGGCUGGCACUCAAAAACUGUCUCCUUCUUUGUAAUAAUCAUCGAAUAAAUUAUGCAAAAAUCA